UACGUAGGGUGCAAGCGUUGUCCGGAAUUAUUGGGCGUAAAGAGCUCGUAGGCGGUUUGUCGCGUCUGCUGUGAAAACCCGAGGCUCAACCUCGGGCCUGCAGUGGGUACGGGCAGACUAGAGUGCGGUAGGGGAGAUUGGAAUUCCUGGUGUAGCGGUGGAAUGCGCAGAUAUCAGGAGGAACACCGGUGGCGAAGGCGGCAUCCUGGACCGAGAUUGACGCUGAUGCGCGAAAGCCAGGGGAGCAAACGGG
rnacentral:rRNA from 1 species